CCUACGGGAGGCAGCAGUGGGGAAUAUUGCACAAUGGGGGAAACCCUGAUGCAGCGACGCCGCGUGAGUGAGGAAGUAUUUCGGUAUGUAAAGCUCUAUCAGCAGGGAAGAAAAUGACGGUACCUGACUAAGAAGCCCCGGCUAACUACGUGCCAGCAGCCGCGGUAAUACGUAGGGGGCAAGCGUUAUCCGGAUUUACUGGGUGGAAAGGGAGCGUAGACGGCUAAUCAAGUCAGAAGUGAAAACCCAUGGCUCAACGUUGGGACUGCUUUUGAAAAUGAGUAGCUAGAGUGCAGGAGAGGUAAGCGGAAUUCCUAGUGUAGCGGUGAAAUGCGUAGAUAUUAGGAGGAACACCAGUGGCGAAGGCGGCUUACUGGACUGUAACUGACGUUGAGGCUCGAAAGCGUGGGGAGCAAACAGGAUUAGAUACCCCAGUAGUC
rnacentral:rRNA from 1 species